rnacentral:lncRNA from 1 species
AUGGUCAAUCUAAACCUAAUAUCCUUUUUCAUGCUAUUUUCUGCUAUCCUAAAUCUUUCCUCUGAAAGGCAAUAAUAGGUAGGCCAUCAGCAGAGCUUGAGGAAACGAUUGUGCUUAGAGCAACUCUGAUUAGUGACCGAUGGCCCUGCACCUCAUCCCGAAGAAGAUGGCGAGUCCGAAUGACCGUGUCCACGGGCCAGCCUCUCAAUAAAGACAACACUCUGGGAAGAUCAGCCCGAAGCCUCGGUGCUUAAGCUUCAGUGAGAAAGAAGAACGUCUGGACUGUUACAGAGACAGCAGAAUGUGCCUCCUGAGAGUCUCGCCUGGAAGUGUACAAAGUACCGGCAGAAACUCAGUCAUGGGACUUACUGUAUAAAAGCAAGAACUUUGGAAUAAAGUAAAAAACUUU